UACAGAGGUCUCAAGCGUUGUUCGGAUUCAUUGGGCGUAAAGGGUGCGUAGGCGGCGCGGUAAGUCGGGUGUGAAAUCUGGAGCUUAACUCCGAAACUGCAUUCGAUACUGCCGUGCUUGAGGACUGGAGAGGAGACUGGAAUUUACGGUGUAGCGGUGAAAUGCGUAGAUAUCGUAAGGAAGACCAGUGGCGAAGGCGGGUCUCUGGACAGUUCCUGACGCUGAGGCACGAAGGUCAGGGGGAGCAAACGGG
rnacentral:rRNA from 1 species